CGCAGGGUUCAGAGAGAAUCAGUCAGGAAAGGGUGGGCUUCAUCCAGCACAAGCAGUCCGGUUUUUCAGCCUUUGGGCUGUUUUAGGCUUGAAGCCGGGGUUUUGCCGGGGACCUUGGCUGUCUCCUGUCUCUAUCAGUUGCUAAUAAGUAUUUGUUUUUAGUGAAUAAUCAGUUUGACUAGUUGACUAUUGGUGUCCUGCCUCUAUGCUCUUGCCUACUACAAGGUCAUCUAUAGAGAGCUUCCACAUGCUGAUGGCUUCCCCCAGCACUCCGCCUGAGGCCAAGGAGUGAGCAGAGCAGGUCACAGUUCAUGAUUUUGGGGCAAUCCUCAACCAACAAGGAAUCCAAGUCAAUAGAAAAGAGAUUGGCAACUUCAGAUUGGAAGUGGAUCAUAGCAGGAAUCCAAGCCUAUAAAUCAGGAUACAGUUUAGUGAUGGAAACUGGAGAAGACAAAAGGAGAACAUUGAACAUUGAAGACAAGAAAGACAAGAGAAAGAAGGUGCUGAUGGAAGGUUCUGUCAAUGCCCUCCAGCCAAAGACCACCAGUAACACUCCUUUAGUUGAACAUAUUAAGUUUAUGGUUUGUUGCAGUAAGGGAUCAUAGGGUAUGAUGGACACUAUGGGGGUGAGGAGCAGGGGGAUGUGGUCAAGGACAUCUCAGUAAAAUGGCAUUAGGAAGGAUUAGAGUUCGGCCGGGCAUGGUGGCUCACACGGUAAUCCCAGCACUUUGGGAGGCCAAGGCAGGCAGAUCAUGAGGUCAAGAGAUCGAGACCAUCCUGGCCAACACGGUGAAAUGCUGUCUCUACUGAAAAUACAAAAAUUAGCUAGGUGUGGUGGCACACACCUGUAGGUUCCCAGCUACUCAGGAGGCUGAGGCAGGAGAAUCACUUGAACCUGGGAGGCGGAGGUUGCAGUGAGCCGGGAUCUUGCCACUGCACUUCAGCCUGGCAACAGAGUGAGACUCCAUCUCAAAAAAAAAAAAAAAAAAAGGAUUAGAGUUCAUGCUUGGGCAACUUAGUGUCUUCCCCAGAAAGAGGGGAAACUGGAGUGAGGUUGUAAUUUGUAAGAAAGGAAUGAAUACUCAUUCAUAUGAACCAGGAUAGAAUGGGGUUAGGUCAUUUCUGAUGUUUGGUUAAUAUUCAUGUUUUUGUCUGCAUUCAGUUAUGGUUAUGGGGCAGUCUUAUUUUUGUCUUGAUUCAUCAUGGUCACAGAGUGGCUCUGUCUGAUCUUGGUGCUCUGUCAAAUUGUUUAUACUCAGCAGGGGAAGGUCUAGCUGUGAGUGCCAAGCUAGCUUCUAGAUGCCAGGAACUGCUUUUCUCUAAAGACAAAGUAUAGAUGAUUAUUGCACCUCAACAGUAAUAGUUGAUAAGAGUAAAUCUAUAAUACAGAGAGCACUUGUCAUAUAGCAAGCACUGCUAAUCACUUUAUGAGUACUAUUUCAUUUAAUCUUCCAAACAACUCUAUACAGUAUUACUCUACUUGUCCUCAUUUGUCACGUAAGAAACUGAGUCAUCGAGAGCUUGAGAUCCUUGUCCAGAGUCUCCUAGGUUGUAGAGCUGACCUGUCCGACUUCAAAGCCCAGGUUCUCAAAAGUGUCACUCUCCCACAAACAAACAA
rnacentral:lncRNA from 10 species